UACGUAGGGAGCAAGCGUUGUUCGGAUUUACUGGGCGUAAAGGGUGUGUAGGCGGUUGCUUAAGUUUGGUGUGAAAUCUCCCGGCUCAACUGGGAGGGUGCGCCGAAUACUGAGUGACUCGAGUGCGGGAGAGGAAAGUGGAAUUCCUGGUGUAGCGGUGAAAUGCGUAGAUAUCAGGAGGAACAUCGGUGGUGUAGACGGCUUUCUGGACCGUAACUGACGCUGAGACACGAAAGCGUGGGUAGCAAACAGG
rnacentral:rRNA from 1 species